AGCGACCUCCGAGAUGAUACUCAGGUGCUAGAAGUGUGCAGACAGGCAGACUAGAUAUUGCCGGCGGGAAUAAACAUCCUUGUUAACAAUGCUGGUAAUUUCUCUGAAACGUUCCUCCUAGGAUCUUGUCCAUCCAAUCUCUAUGGUCCCCGACAGUCUCCCCCGGCCAGACAUGCUGACUUCCAACUUCAUCAAAAUCGAAAAUUUUGGCAUUGUAUAGGAUAGUCUCCUCGAUGUCCCUUUUAGAGGAUUUCCCCCAGCUUCCUCUGAUGAUUGUUGCAAACAGAUACACGGUCAGAGACAGAUAAAGUAGAAAGAAACUCCAAAAUGCCAGGAAAUCGAUUGCGG